GGAUUGUAAACUUCUUUUAUUAAGGACGAAAAAUGACGGUACUUAAUGAAUAAGCUCCGGCUAACUACGUGCCAGCAGCCGCGGUAAUACGUAGGGAGCAAGCGUUGUCCGGAAUUACUGGGUGUAAAGGGAGCGCAGGCGGGAAGACAAGUUGGAAGUGAAAUCUAUGGGCUCAACCCAUAAACUGCUUUCAAAACUGUUUUUCUUGAGUAGUGCAGAGGUAGGCGGAAUUCCCGGUGUAGCGGUGGAAUGCGUAGAUAUCGGGAGGAACACCAGUGGCGAAGGCGGCCUACUGGGCACCAACUGACGCUGAGGCUCGAAAGUGUGGGUAGCAAACAGGAUUAGAUACCCUGGUAGUCCACACCGUAAACGAUGAUUACUAGGUGUUGGAGGAUUGACCCCUUCAGUGCCGCAGUUAACACAAUAAGUAAUCCACCUGGGGAGUA
rnacentral:rRNA from 1 species